CGCUUUCACAAGAGCAGUCUGAUUAUGGGAUAUGGGUUUUUGCAUGACAGGGUUAAAUAAUAAUGGGCGGUUGAUGUUACUUAAGGCAUUUCUUCUUAUGUGCUUUUGCCUAAAGGUUGUCCACCCAACUGAGUGCAAAACUGAAAGGAUACGGUGGGUACUGUUGCGGCCACUUAAGGUUUUCCCAGGUUCAGAUGAUUGAGAACAUAACUGGAUCAGAAACACUAAAUUGUCUCAACUAGAAGAACCCUACAACGAGUAGACAAAUCCCUGUGAACUGGCAAUGAGAAAGUAUGAGGGCAGGCUGCUGCGGGCUGUGACUGAGCAGUUGCUGUCUGCCAACAAUCUAAAAGAGGAAGGGAAAAAAAUGGAGCUACAGCAAUAAUUUUGUCUGGUCAAAGUGUUCACACCUCCAGCAGCCUCACUGAAAGGAAUCUCUGCAGAUUGUGCAGAGUAAAAUAUAAAUAUUUCUGGUUUCAGGAAAAGUCUGAGAAAAGCUUAAGGAGAGUCGACAGACUGAACUGUGCAGAAAUGACAUCUGUGAUCGGACUGUUGCUGAUGCUGAUCACAGUCACUGAUGGUGUGGUGACCCACUGUGAUGGCAGAAAGAAUGGAGCUCAGUGUUAUGGAGCUUUGGGAGGAACUGUUUCUCUCCAGCUGAUGGACAACUUCUCACAAAUACCCAGAUACGAAUUGUUCAUGGUACUAUCAGGAGGAAAAGAUAAACCACUUUAUAUUCAAGACAGAUCUUCAUUUUUCCCCUCUAAUGGAACAUUCUGGAUCCAUAACCUGAGCAGGAAUGACAGUUGUCAAUAUAGACUUACAACAUUUGAUUCAUAUGGAAGAAUAACAGAAGACCGCAUCCUACAGUUAUCAGUUCAAGGUUUGGUGACCCACUGUGAUGGCAGACAGAAUGGAACUCAGUGUUAUGGGAGGAACUGUUUCUCUCCAGCUGAUGGACAACUUCUCACAAAUACCCAGAUACCUGUUGAGAACUAAAAUAGACAAUGUACUAUCAGGAGGAAAAUAUAGAUCACUUGUGAUUAAAAUGAGAAACAGAUCUUCAUUUAUUCCCUCUAAUGGAACAUUUUGGAUCCAUAACCUGAGCAGGAAUGACAGUGGUGAAUAUAGACUUCAAACAUUUGAUUAAAAUGGAAAAAUGGCAGAAAACCACACCCUACAGUUAUUAGUUCAAGCUCCUGUGUCCUCCGUCUCGCUGGUCUCUGAGUGUUUGUCUCAGGGAGAGAUGAAGGUGUCCUGCUCCUCUGAGGGAGGGGACAGUCCUCAGUACAAGUGGACUCUGAAUGGAAAGUCACUGACAGAAGCUGAGCUGCUUUCUGGAAACAAGCAGACAAACAUCAUCACUUUGAAACAACACGUCUCAGGACGUCUGGUCUGCUCCUCCUGGAACCACGUCAGCUCUGCUUCUAAAGAGAUAAACAUCAAUAACUGUGGUUUCAUUUACAUAAACUGCACCUUUAAUGGGACGAAGAUAUCAAAGUGGGUGUUUCAGGAAAACAACACUCUGUGUGUUGAACCACCGACAACAGUCUCACCAACAGAGACACAGAUCACUGUGGUUCACACAGGUCCGUCCGUGCUGAGAUGCAGUCUGAUGUUUCUGUUUUCUGUUGUUUCCUUUGUGGGAAUCUGCGUCUAUUUCAAGUGGAAGAAGAUCAAAUCUGAGAAAGCUGAACAGUUUGCUGCAAGACACAGAAGAAUGUUUUCAGAUCAUUUCUAUGAAAAUGAACAAGCACUGUACAUCAACAUUCAACCAAACCAUGCAAAAGUAAAUUUUUAAUUUUGAUUUUAUUAUUAUACUCAGAGUUCUGUCUAUAAAACAACAGAUUCAGCAAAUCAAUGUUAUCUUUUGGUUUGAUACAUUUUUUUAUCAGGAAUCAGGAAUCAGGAAAACUUUAUUGUCAUUUUAUCAUGAUAAAACGAAAUUAGGCUCUCUGGUCCCGGGCCAGCCGUUUACAUUCAGACAUAAAUAAUAUAUAUCAAUAAUAAUGUCAGUGAGAUAUCAGUCUGUUAUGGUGUGGUUCCUGAUGAGUAUUGCACAGAAGUAUUUUUCAAAUUGCACAGUAUAUUAUGUUAAGUAUUGCACAGCCCUGUGAUAUUGCACUUGGGAAUUAGCUUGUUGUCCAUAGAGAGGGGGGGGGGGGUGCAGUGAUCAACCGGAGUUCAGCAGUCUGACUGCUUCAGGAAAGAAACUGUUCCUCAGUCUGGUGGUCCUGCUCUUUAUGCUCCUCAGUCUCCUGCCUGAGGGGAGCAGGGAGAACAGAGGGUGUGAGGGAUGAGUGGGGUCUUUCAGGAUGCGAGAGGCCAAUUUCCUGCAUCUGGUCGUAUAGAUGUCAGUGGUGGACGGCAGGCUGCAGCCCACAGUCCUCUGUGCAGCUUUGGUCACUCGUUGCAGAGCUUUCCUCUCUGCCGCAGAGCAGCUGCCGUGCCACACCGUGAUGCAGGAUGUCAUGACGCUCUCCACCACACACCUGUAGAAGGAGGUCAGGACUGGGAUCCCCAUCCCAGCUCGCUUGAGCCUCCUCAGGAAAUAAAGGCGCUGGUGUGCCUUCUUGACCAGGCAGGAGGUGUUGGUGCUCCAGGUGAGGUCGCUGGAGAUGUGCACGCCCAGAUACCUGAAGCUGGAAACCACUUCCACCGCGUCCCCUCCGAUGUGAAUGGGGGGAGGGGGGCAUCUGUCCAUCCUAAAAUCCACGAUCAUCUCCUUGGUCUUCUUCCCAUUGAUGCAGAGGUUGUUGUCUCUGCACCAGCUCUCCAGAUGUUCCACCUCCUGCCUGUAGUCGGACUCAUCGUUGUUGGUGAUGCGUCCAACCACAGCUGUGUCAUCCGCAAACUUCACGAUCAGACAGCUGGGGUUAUUCGCUGUGCAGUCGUGCGUCAGCAGGGUGAACAGGAGGAGGCUCAGCACACAGCCCUGGGGGGAGCCCGUGCUGAGGGUGAUCGGGGAGGAGGAGACGUUGCGGAUUUUUACAGACUGCGGUCUGUCUGUCAGGAAGUCCAAGACCCAGUUGCACAGAGUGGGGUUCAGUCCAAGUGUGUGUAGUUUUUGGGUGAGGGUCUGCGGGAUGAUGGUGUUAAAAGCUGAUGUGAAGUCCACGAAGAGCAGUCGAACGUACGCGUUCUUGUUCUCUAGGUGGGUGAGGGUUGUGUGGACCACAGAGGAGAUGGCGUCCUCUGUGGAUCGGUUUGACCUGUAUGCGUAUUGGUGCAGGUCCUUGGUGAUGUUGAUGGAUUCUGUGAUGCGGGUCAUGACCAGUUUUUCGAAACAUUUCAUGACUAUCGGUGUCAGGGCAACCGGCCGAUAGUCAUUCAGACCUGUCACUGUGGAUGAUUUGGGUAUUGGAAUGAUGGUGGCGGUUUUCAGGCAGGUGGGGACCACUGCCUGCAUCAGGGAGGUGUUGAAGAUGUCUGUCAUAUGAAAUCCUUAUCAACUGACUAAAUGAAGCACCAAUUAUAAGAGACUUGUUAGUUGUGAUGUCACUUCCUCUUUUAAGACUCUAGAUUAUUAAGCAUAUUUAACCUCUUGUUUGUGCAAUAGUUUUGUCUCGUCAAAUGGACGUUUGUAUCAGCACUUCAUGUUUAGAAUGAAUGUAAUUAAAUGUAUCAAAAUAAAUGUAAAGUUAUGUUUGUAAGUUUUCUCGUUUAGAGGUGAUCAAUUUAAUGAGAAGAAAACGGGCAUUGUAAAUUUAUUGUAAUCCCUUAAAGGGAACCAAAGAAUUCUGGUUUUAUCUAAGAGAACCUGUUGCUGAUUUUCUUCUGUGACAUUUACACAUCAGUGUUGUGACUAUCACUUUGUGUAAGGAAUGUAGAUUAUUUUUUUCUGUCAGAAGGUUUUGUAAUAGUGCUAAAAUCACAUUUUUUGUGAGUUGUUGAUGACUGGGUCAGAGUGAUAUAAACAAUACUUCACACUGAGCUCAGUGCAGUGCUUAAGUAUUUGGCAUGUUUGAUUUUCUUUUAUUGUAAUUUUUUUGGAUGAUUCAACACAAAUCCCGCAACUUAAAAAUUGUAGCUUUAUUGCAUUUUCAUAGUCCUAAUUCACAUAAAGACAUUGAGUUAUCUUUAAUCAAGCAUGUAGGGUGAUGUGUUUGACAAAAUAAAAAUGUAAAGACCUUUGACCAUUACCUUUAGUAGGACAAACAUUGGACACUAAAGGGCGCUCAUAACCCAGAAAUUGAUCCGUAGCUGUCGAGUUCUCUUGACUUUAUUUCACUGUGGUACAUUUUAAUUCUCGUUAGUUGUUUGGAUAGAUUAAAAGAACGGUCCCAGCAGUCAACUUUAUAGCAGAGCCAACCCUGAGAAAAACAAACUUAAGCAGUAGAUUGGAUAACAAAAACCUCAAUAUCUUCAGCUCUGCUUCCUGUCUCUUUCUCAUAAACCAGCAACGUUGCUGCUGUC